ACUUACCUGGCAGGGGAGAUACCAUGAUCACGAAGGUGGUUUUCCCAGGGCGAGGCUUAUCCAUUGCACUCCGGAUGUGCUGACCCCUGCGAUUUCCCCAAAUGUGGGAAACUCGACUGCAUAAUUUGUGGUAGUGGGGGACUGCGUUCGCGCUUUCCCCUG
rnacentral:snRNA from 10 species